GGAAUGAACCUUCGGGGGAAUGAAAUCCUAGAAAGUGGCGAACGGGUGAGUAACGCGUGGGUAACCUGCCCUAUGGAAAGGAAUAGCCUCGGGAAACUGGGAGUAAUGCCUUAUAAUAUACGAGAGUCGCAUGGCUUUUGUAUUAAACGCUCCGGUGCCAUAGGAUGGACCCGCGUCCCAUUAGCUAGUUGGUGAGAUAACAGCCCACCAAGGCAACGAUGGGUAACCGGUCUGAGAGGGCGAACGGUCACACUGGAACUGAGACACGGUCCAGACUCCUACGGGAGGCAGCAGUGGGGAAUAUUGCGCAAUGGGGGCAACCCUGACGCAGCAAUACCGCGUGAGUGAAGAAGGUUUUCGGAUCGUAAAGCUCUGUUAUUGGGGAAG
rnacentral:rRNA from 1 species